rnacentral:miRNA from 1 species
UGAACUCACUGUGUAGCCCAGGCUGGCCUCAAAUUCACAGCGAUCCUCCUGCCUCAGCCUCCUGAGUGCUGGGAU